rnacentral:rRNA from 1 species
UACGUAGGGGGCUAGCGUUGUCCGGAAUCAUUGGGCGUAAAGCGCGUGUAGGCGGCCCGGUAAGUCCGCUGUAAAAGUCGGGGGCUCAACCCUCGAAAGCCGGUGGAUACUGUCGGGCUAGAGUACGGAAGAGGCGAGUGGAAUUCCUGGUGUAGCGGUGAAAUGCGCAGAUAUCAGGAGGAACACCGAUUGCGAAGGCAGCUCGCUGGGACGU